ACUUCCGACACGUUUGCUCUGGUGUCCCUUUUUUAUUGGACAAUUUAGAAAACUGACGGUAAUCUUUUGUGCAUGGGACACAUAAUUUGUAUCAUCUAGAUCCUUGUUCCUCGAACUUCCGUCUUGAAAGAAAAAAACGACAUUGCAUCAUCGACUAAUUAUGUCGGGUUUGUUCUAGACAGACUUUUAUAUCGUUUGGUGGAUUUGGUUUUUACAAUAUUCCGAAUUUCCCAAAACUUAAAGUGUAACGCGGAACAAGGAAAUAAUAUUAAAAAAUGUAGGUUUAAUAGACCACUUUCGACUUCUUCCGUCACCGGCAAAAACUCGUCAAUUAUGCACGCCUUUAUGACGUCAUUUACCAGAUAGAGGGGGUCGCCUGUAUCCCUGCACUAUUUACGUUCAUCAAGCGUCUUAGUGAUCGUCAUUGUGCAGGAUAAACUAGAAAUAAUGGUUGUUCUGUAGGUACUUACUGACAAUUCCCUAAUGACAGCAGUGUUGAUUGUCAAUUUUGAGAAUUCAAUUUGCCGAAUAAUUCGUACAAUAUAGAAUUAUCGUUUUCCAAUCACUCGCUCAACAUUGGAAUGGAAGUGACGACGCCCCUAAACGCACAAACGACGUUCAUAAAAACCAGAGUUUUUGACGGAAAUGCAUCGAACUCGAAAGUUGUCUAUUGAUUUUCACUUAAUGAAAAUAGUUGGUUAGGACUUUUUGUAGAAAAUAAACACUAGCACAUCAUAGAAAAGCAAGUGAGAAAUCUUUAUUUCAAAUUUUAUAACAAAAAUCUUUGUAUUAAAGGCUGUGGAUUUUCUAUAAAAAUCUUGGUUUAUUUGCCAUUAAGUACUCUUUUUCUAGUAAAUGCUAUGAAACAGUAAAUAAUUAUGUUUUCCAUCAAGUUUCCCCUUGGUAUAUGUACUAAAUGGCGUAUCUCUAUUAUUCAUUAUAUCUGUAGUUUUGAUACAAUUGAAGUUUGGAAAAUGUGUACAAAAAAUGGCUACAGAAGAGCUCAUAACCUUAAUUUAAAUAACACCAGUAUCGUGCGACGUUUCUAUACAUUUAAAAACAUAUUAGUAAUGCAGGUUCUACAUUUAAGUUUAAGUUAAUACGAACAGUGAUUAUUUUUAUCCUUUCCUUAUAGUUGUACUAAAUCACAUUUUAUUUUGUUAAAAAAUAAAACCAUAUUUAAUAAACAUGAAUGAGAUUUGU
rnacentral:lncRNA from 1 species